rnacentral:lncRNA from 1 species
GCUUUGGAAGCAUGGUUGUGGGCAGAGCUGGGAUAAUUUUGUGUGUGCGUGAUUCUUAGUUAUGCUGACAGCUUUCAGGUUUUGAAAUCCUGUCUCUUCCCUGUUGGUUUAACCUGUGUUAUCCACAUUUUUUUAUCUCAUUUAUUUCAUUAAUUUCAUUCACUCAGCCCAAAGAUGAUUAUUUGGCCUCUACUGUGCACUAGGUGAUGUGUUCUUUACUGGGCUUUCUUGUUGAUUAGAAUAAUAUUCUUUAAGCUACUGGCAC